rnacentral:rRNA from 1 species
GAUGAACGCUGGCGGCGUGCCUAAUACAUGCAAGUCGAGCGAACAGACGAGGAGCUUGCUCCUCUGACGUUAGCGGCGGACGGGUGAGUAACACGUGGAUAACCUACCUAUAAGACUGGGAUAACUUCGGGAAACCGGAGCUAAUACCGGAUAAUAUAUUGAACCGCAUGGUUCAAUAGUGAAAGACGGUUUUGCUGUCACUUAUAGAUGGAUCCGCGCCGCAUUAGCUAGUUGGUAAGGUAACGGCUUACCAAGGCGACGAUGCGUAUCCGACCUGAGAGGGAGAAUGACCACAAUGGAACUGAGACACGGUCCAGACUCGUACGGGAGGCAGCAGUAGGGAAUCUUCCGCAAUGGUCGAAAGCCUGACGGAGCAACGCCGCGUGAGUGAUGAAGGUCUUCGGAUCGUAAAACUCUGUUAUUAGGGAAGAACAAAUGUGUAAGUAACUAUGCACGUCUUGACGGUACCUAAUCAGAAAGCCACGGCUAACUACGUG